UUUCUGUAGGUGAACCUGCGGAAGGAUCAUUAUUGUAUAACCGAGGUGCGAGGGCUGUCGCUGACCCGAAAGGUCGUGCACGCCCGAGUGCCCUCACACACAUCCAUCUCACCCCUAUGUGCACCACCGCGUGGGUCCCCCUUUGGCUUGUUCGGAGGGGGGCUUACGUUUUCACACAAACUUUGUAUGCAGUGUAGAAUGUAUUUUUUGUUUUUGCGAUCACGCAAUCAAUACAACUUUCAACAACGGAUCUCUUGGCUCUCGCAUCGAUGAAAACGCAGC
rnacentral:misc_RNA from 1 species